rnacentral:lncRNA from 1 species
CGUCGGGGCGCUCGCCCCCGAUAAGCGCUGCCCCUUAUCGCAUCGCUGCCCUUUGAUCUGGCCGCCGGGCCCGCAGGGUCCGGAGCACAAAGCAGCCCUUGAGGCCGCGCUCCGGAGGUGCCAAUGGCAAGCGGAGGUCGGCACAUCAGAGCGGCGCUGCCUCCCGGGAUAAAAGCGGCGGCCCGGGCGGCCGUGCCCGGCUGCUGCCCCUCCCGAGGUCCCGACGAGGCUGCUCGGCACCAUGAAGUGGCUGCCGGUGGUCUUGGCGUGUCUGCAGCUGGCGGAGGGGGCGGUCAGGUGGGUGAGAGGGCGGAGGAUGGAGCGCGGGGAUGCGGGAGCGGCUGGGAGCGAGGAGAGUGCGCGGGUGUCACAGGCCAGGGCAGCUCCUGGGCAUGGAGAGCUCCUGGGCAUGGAGAAGAGAUCUUGGGGCAUGGAGAGGUCCUGGGGAAUGGAGAGGUCCUGGGGAAUGGAGAGGUCAUGGGAAUGGAGAGGUCCUGGGGCAUGGAGAGGUCCUGGGGCAUGGAGAGGUCCUGGGGAAUGGAGAGGUCCUGGGGAAUGGAGAGGUCAUGGGAAUGGAGAGGUCCUGGGGCAUGGAGAGGUCCUGGGGCAUGGAGAGAUCCUGGGGAUGGAAAAGAGAUCUUGGGGCAUGGAGAGGUCCUGGGGACUGGAGAGAUCUUGGGGCAUGGAGAGAUCCUGGGGCAUGGAGAGAUCCUGGGGAAUGGAAAAGAGGUCCUGGGGAAUGGAGACAUCCUGGGCAUGGAGAGGUCCUGGGGAAUGGAAGAGUUCCUGGGUCAUGGAGAGAUCCUGGGGCAUGGAGAGGUCCUGGGGCAUGGAGAGGUCCUGGAAUGUGGAGAGGCCUGGGGCAUGGAGAGAUCCUGGGGAAUGGAGAGGUCCUGGGGCAUGGAGAGGUCCUGGAAUGUGGAGAGGUCCUGGAGCAUGGAGAGGUCCUGGGCAUGGAGAGGUCCUGGGAAUGGAGAGGUCCUGGGGCAUGGAGAGAUCCUGGGGCAUGGA